GCACGGGUGUCCGAGCGGCCGAAGGAACAGGGCUUAGGACCCUGUGGCUUAGUGCCUUCCCAGGUUCGAAUCCUGGCCCGUGCA
rnacentral:tRNA from 1 species